GAUGAACGCUGGCGGCGUGCUUAACACAUGCAAGUCGAACGAAGCACUUUAUUUGAUUUCCUUCGGGACUGAUUAUUUUGUGACUGAGUGGCGGACGGGUGAGUAACGCGUGGGUAACCUGCCUUGUACAGGGGGAUAACAGUUGGAAACGGCUGCUAAUACCGCAUAAGCGCCCAGCAUCGCAUGAUGCAGUGUGAAAAACUCCGGUGGUAUAAGAUGGACCCGCGUUGGAUUAGCUAGUUGGCGAGGUAACGGCCCACCAAGGCGACGAUCCAUAGCCGACCUGAGAGGGUGACCGGCCACAUUGGGACUGAGACACGGCCCAAACUCCUACGGGAGGCAGCAGUGGGGAAUAUUGCACAAUGGGCGAAAGCCUGAUGCAGCGACGCCGCGUGAGCGAAGAAGUAUUUCGGUAUGUAAAGCUCUAUCAGCAGGGAAGAUAAUGACGGUACCUGACUAAGAAGCACCGGCUAAAUACGUG
rnacentral:rRNA from 1 species